GACGAACGCUGGCGGCGCGCUUAACACAUGCAAGUCGAACGGAAAGGCCUGCUUUCCCUUGUGGAUUGCGGGUACUCGAGUGGCGAACGGGUGAGUAACACGUGAGUGAUCUGCCCCCAACUUGGGUAUAAGCCUGGGAAACUGGGUCUAAUUCCCGAUAGGACUGCAGGGUGGUGCCUGUGGUGGAAAACGAUUUUCUAGUGGUUGGGGAUGAGCUCGCGGCCUAUCAGCUUGUUGGUGGGGUAAUGGCCUACCAAGGCGGCGACGGGUAGCCGGCCUGAGAGGGGGGACGGCCACAUUGGGACUGAGAUACGGCCCAGACGCCUACGGGAGGCAGCAGUGGGGAAUAUUGCACAAUGGGCGGAAGCCUGAUGCAGCGACGCCGCGUGGGGGAUGACGGGCUUCGGGUUGUAAACUCCUUUCGACCGCGAGGAAGCCACCUGGUUGGAAGGGUGGUGACGGUAGUGGUAGAAGAAGCACCGGCUAACUACGUG
rnacentral:rRNA from 1 species